UAGGAACGCUUUCUUUCUUAAACCAUUGGAGGACAUACACCACUGUCUCAGAAGCUAGAAAUUUCUUUAUUAGGUCAGAGAGCUUGUGGUUGAAAUCAGACACUGCACCAGAAGCUAUAAAUUUCUUUAUUUGAUCAAAAGGCAUAUAGGUGAAAUCAGACACUGCACCAGAAGCUAUAAAUUUCUUUAUUAGAUCAAAAGGCAUAUAGGUGAAAUCAGACACUGCACCAGAAGCCAUGAAUUUCUUUAUUAGAUCAAAAGGCGAACGUCUGUAAUCAGACACAGCACCAGAAGCCAUAAAUGUCUUUAUUUGAUCAGAAAGCUUGUGGGUUAAAUCAGACACUGCAUAGGAACCUA
rnacentral:lncRNA from 1 species